rnacentral:Y_RNA from 1 species
CGCUGGUCUGAAGGUAGUGAGUUAUCUCACCUGAUUGUUCCCAGUUACAGAUGGAACUCCUUGUUCUACUGCUUUCCUCCCUUCUCACUACUGCACUUGACUAGUCUAAA